CCAUCUCCACAUCUCUGCACUUCUCGGACCAACCUAGGUUAGUUCCAGAACUCCCCUCUUUGCUUUUUCUCUUGCUGUUCUUCUUCCAUUUUUCUUCUGAUACAUUCUGCCUGUUCAGUUUUCUGCAAGCGCCCCUUCUCUUAUUUUUCCCAAUUUUUUUUGGGAUUUUUAGGGUUUUUGCUCGAUUUAUAAUGUCCUCCAGCACUUCUUCCUC
rnacentral:lncRNA from 1 species